rnacentral:lncRNA from 1 species
CGAGGCUCUGCAGGUUUUGCGAGUUUGCUCUGCUCUGAGGCCUGACCGUCCCUGGCCGCCAAGUGUCUGCUGACUGAGAGCUCCAGCUCCGGAGAGGUGCCCAGUACCUGGUGAGCAGAGGGACCUGAAGGAGCAGGUGCCUCUUCCUCAGACAUCUGCAGUCACUUCACAGUGAAUGAGGCUCCAGCCGGGUGCCCUGAGAAGUGGCCAACACCCUACCCAAGAGGAGACCGCACA